rnacentral:rRNA from 1 species
UUCGACCUCAAAUCAGGUAGGACUACCCGCUGAACUUAAGCAUAUCAAUAAGCGGAGGAAAAGAAAACCAACC